GCCGACGUGGUGAAAUUGGUAGACACGCCAUCUUGAGGGGGUGGUGACGCGAGUCGUGUGAGUUCGAGUCUCACCGUCGGCACCA
rnacentral:tRNA from 2 species